rnacentral:rRNA from 1 species
AUUGAACGCUGGCGGCAGGCCUAACACAUGCAAGUCGAGCGGAUGAAGAGAGCUUGCUCUCUGAUUUAGCGGCGGACGGGUGAGUAAUGCCUAGGAAUCUGCCUGGUAGUGGGGGAUAACGUUCCGAAAGGAACGCUAAUACCGCCUACGUCCUACGGGAGAAAGCAGGGGACCUUCGGGCCCAGCGCUAUCAGAUGAGCCUGGGUCGGAUUAGCUAGGUGGUGAGGUAGUGGCUCACAAAGGCGACGAUCCGUAACUGGGUUGAGAGGAUGAUAAGUCACACUGGAACGGAGACACGGUCCAGACUCCAACGGGAGGCAGCAGUGGGGAAUAUUGGACAAUGGGCGAAAGCCUGAUCCAGCCAUGCCGCGUGUGUGAAGAAGGUCUUCGGAUUGUAAAGCACUUUAAGUUGGGAGGAAGGGCAUUAACCUAAUACGUUAGUGUUUUGACGUUACCAACAGAAUAAGCACCGGCUAACUUCGUGCCAGCCGCCGCCGUAAAAC